UUUGUAUCCCCAGUCCGGCCCUGAGGACCACUAUAGGCACCCAGACCACUUCAGCUCAAUGAAGUGGUCUGGGUGCCAGGUCCCUCUAGUUUUAACCAUGCAGCUGAAAACAUAGCUGCAGGGUUAAUCCAGCCUCUGGUGGCUGUCUUACUGACAGCCACUAGAGGUGCUUCUGCGAUUUUCACUGUGAAAAUCACAGUGAGAACACUCUGACGUCCAUAGAAAAGAAUUGAGUGAUGCUUUCUUAUGGGCUGAUUGAAUGUGCACGCACAUUUGGUG